GGGCCAUAGCUUAGUGAUAGAGCAUCUACUCACAUACAGAAGCUCCCAGGUUCAAUCCAUGGCAUCUUCA